CCGCCAACUACCUCCAUUUUCUCCUAAAAUAUUAACACUGUUGAUGUGUUGAGGAGUAAUGUAUCUUUCAAGAAAAUUUCAACAACUAUCUCUCUCUCUCUCUCUCUCUCUCUCUCUCGCUCUCUCUCUCUCUCUCUCCCCUUUAAAGCCCACUGUUUUCUCACACGAAAAUAUAAAAAUAUUCAUCUCCUCCAUUUCACUUUUGUCUUUUCCUUGAAUUAGAUUCAAGUUGAGAACGAGUGAAAUUCGAAUACACUAAUUAAUAGUAUUGUUCGGAAUUCAUUUGCUUUCAUCGCAUCUAAUUCUUUCUAGCAAAAGGGUAGAUCCAUCUUCCCACGAUGUGGUGUAGACUAACUUUAGAGGUGUUCUACACUUGAACCCCCCUCUAAGUGAACGAAUCCGAGAAGGAGAGGAGUCACCGCUUGUAGCUGCACGAGAAAACGACAAGGUGAUUGGAGUAGAAAUGCCAAGCCCAAGUCAGGCCCGUUGACCCAUGACGGAGCAGUCCGCCCAAGAGUGUCGGGCUUAGCCCAAGGAGGAGGCCCCCUGUAGCGGGAUCGGCCCAAGAGGGAGGCCCACUAAGCUCAGUCCAAGAGGUAGCGCCCCACACGAGUGUCUGUCCAAGAAAGAAGCUUGCUGCACCAAGUUUAACCCAAGAAGGAGGCCUAGUACGAAGGCUUGUUGCACCCUUCCAACACCAAUACAGAAGAAGAGAGGUGCUCUCAAGAAACUGGGCUACUCAGCCUAAGAGGACUCCUUGCCAGACAAGAGUCUUCAUGAAGAAGGAGCCUUUUCCAUCCGAAGACGUGCUGCUCAAGAAGGGGAAAAGGUGCGACCUUAUCCAUCAAAAUUUCGCCUUCCUUCUCGGGUCCUUUUCCUCAAGUGCUUUCACUCAAUUAAUCCAAAUUCAAUAUCGAGAUCUAAAGAACUUUGGACCCAUGCUAAAAUCACAUGCAUCAAUCGCCGCUGACUUUGGAAAAUUGUGUUAAUGGCAUGAGUUAAUAUGGAUACCCCCAGCAAUCCCUAACAAGCAGAAGGUCGUGGAGGUACCCAGCAACAAUCAGCCUUUCGAGAACCUCCCUAGCAUCGAUAGGCGGGUCCACCCCAACUUUGCCUGCUCCGAUGCUACCCCGCAGGAUGGUGGAUCUAUUGAUUGACCCUCUAAGGCAAAACACCUCCUCAGACACCACAUCAGGAGAAACUUUCCCCAACCUUGUUGUGUGCAAUUCAAUAAGUUGUUGUAGCAGCCAUUCAGGAGCAAAUAGCGGUACUAGUACCUGCCAGCUCAGUCGAUAUGGUGGAAGCAGGAAUCCCUCAAGGGGGAAUAGAAGGAAGCCUACUAGAGGGAUACGUCGCAGUAACUAAGGCCUCGCCAACGGUGAUACAAAUGCUCCUUCCAGCAGUUCCCCAACAAUGGCUGGCUUAGCUGGAGUGCCUUCAAAAAGGCCUCCAGGACGUGCAACACUAGAUAGGAGGAAUCCUAGGAGAAGAACAACAGGGUGUCCCCUUCAUAGAUGCAAUAAUGGCAAACGAGCUCCUUGUAAACAGCCAAACCCUUAUUAUUGCUAAAUAUGAUAAGUCGACUGAUCCUA